UCACUGGGUUAGUGAUUACUGC
rnacentral:miRNA from 1 species